GACGAACGCUGGCGGCGUGCUUAACACAUGCAAGUCGAACGGAAAGGCCCUGCUUUUGUGGGGUGCUCGAGUGGCGAACGGGUGAGUAACACGUGAGUAACCUGCCCUUGACUUUGGGAUAACUUCAGGAAACUGGGGCUAAUACCGGAUAGGAGCUCCUGCUGCAUGGUGGGGGUUGGAAAGUUUCGGCGGUUGGGGAUGGACUCGCGGCUUAUCAGCUUGUUGGUGGGGUAGUGGCUUACCAAGGCUUUGACGGGUAGCCGGCCUGAGAGGGUGACCGGCCACAUUGGGACUGCGAUACGGCCCAGACUCCUACGGGAGGCAGCAGUGGGGAAUAUUGCACAAUGGGCGGAAGCCUGAUGGAGCAACGCCGCGUGCGGGAUGACGGCCUUCGGGUUGUAAACCGCUUUCGCCUGUGACGAAGCGUGAGUGACGGUAAUGGGUAAAGAAGCACCGGCUAACUACGUG
rnacentral:rRNA from 1 species